rnacentral:rRNA from 1 species
AAUAAACGCUGGCGGCGUGCUUAACACAUGCAAGUCGAGCGAGCAAGUCCUUCGGGAUGAGUUAGCGGCGAACGGGUGAGCAACGCGUGAGAACCUUCUUUUUAGUGAGGAAUACCUUCGAGAAAUUGAAGUUAAUACCGCAUAAGUCCGUUUACGGAGAAAGGUGGCUUUAUUGCUGUCGCUAAAAAAUGGGCUUGCGUACUAUUAGCUAGUUGGUGGGGUAAUGGCCUACCAAGGCGAUGAUGGUUAACCGGCCUGAGAGGGUGUACGGUCACAUUGGAACUGAGAUACGGUCCAAACUCCUACGGGAGGCAGCAGUGAGGAAUAUUGCGCAAUGGGCGAAAGCCUGACGCAGCGACGCCGCGUGGGGGAUGAAGGUCUUAGGAUUGUAAACUCCUGUUAAGAGAGAAAAAAACUUCGCAAGUAAUAUGUGCGGAGCAUGAUUGUACCUCUAGAGAAAGCACCGGCUAACUUCGUGCCAGCAGCCGCUGUAAGAC